UCCAGUCGCCGUGUGUGCCGUAGAGGCUGCUGUCGCGGACGGAAGAAUGAAGCUGCUAGCAAAGAAAAAGCGAACGGCCAAGCAGUUAUGCUGUGUUCCUCGGUGCGUGCCAGCGAGAUGGAAGGACAGCGAUAUUUCCGUUCACGCAUUUCCCUCCGAGUCGAAAGGCUGAAGCCGCAGAACCAGGUGGAUCUCUAACAUCCGCAUCGGCAAGGCUGUGACGCUGACAGUGACUGUUUGCUCACGGCAUUUUGCACGGGAUAAUUUCUCCUUACCAGAUGUAGCAUGUCAAAGACAGCGGCUGAAAAAAAUGCAGUACCAACUGAAAACCUGCCAAGGACGUCAUGUUAUGAUGAGAACAAGGAUGCUCAUAUGAAAGAGCUUUCACUGGCAAGACUUCGCCGACGUGUGUAUCGGUCAGCCAGAGUAAGUUAAUUUGACUACAUGGUGCAGCACUUAUAUGCUUAUGGUACAUACACCAUGUCUACAAGCAUGCAAUAGAUGUCAACACCUUUUAAUGCAUUACAGAAUGAAUCAAGCAAAGAAACUGUUGCCUCCCCAUUAGAAGCAAAGGUGUUGCCCCAUGCACCUGUCAGCAUGACCACCAUGGUAAAUUGGCUGCCUGCAACUUGUGCACACAUUGCUUCACCACUAAUUCCUUGGGAUUAAACUCUGACAUUGCAGGACGAUCUCCCAUCCCCUGACAGCAACAGCAUGGACCAAAUAAGUGACAAAGGAAAUAUGGAAUGUGCUUGCCAACCUGGCCUCCGGACAUUAAUGGCAGAGUACUCAAGAGAAGAAAAAGACGUGGCAAAUUUCCUACUAGAAAUGGCUUCACGGACAAGGCUUACAGAAAGCAAGGCUGCCCAAGUGACAUCGGGUACUUUUCCACAGAAGUUUGUGAACACGAUAAAUAGUAGCAACGUAAACACAUUCACAGGCCUGCCAUCAUUCGAUGUUCUGAAUGCUCGUGUGACGUGCUACACAAAAAUUCAUCCACAUUCAGGACGGCACCAGUUAUGUGUAAAAACAAUUGCAUUGACAUUGGUGAAAUUGAAGCAUAUUUCCACUGCAUUCUUGAGUCACCUUUUUAACUGUUCUCUAACUACAUGUAGCAACAUAAUUGCAGAGACUGC